rnacentral:tRNA from 2 species
GUUUAGCUCAGCUGGUUCAGAGCAUCUGCCUUACAAGCAGAGGGUCGGCGGUUCGAAUCCGUCAACGCCCA